rnacentral:rRNA from 1 species
GACGAACGCUGGCGGCGUGCUUAACACAUGCAAGUCGAACGAAGUGGCGAACGGGUGAGUAACGCGUAAUCAACCUGCCCUUCAGAGGGGGACAACAGUUGGAAACGACUGCUAAUACCGCAUACUGAAGGAGGGGAUUGCGUCGGAUUGGCUAGUUGGAGGGGUAACGGCCCACCAAGGCGAUGAUCAGUAGCCGGGCUGGGAGGAUGGACCGCCACAAUGGGACUGGGACACGGGCCAGACCCCUACGGGAGGCAGCAAUGGGGAAACUUCCGCAAUGGACGGAAAGCUGACGGAGCAACUCCGCGUGAGGGAUGACGGCCUUCGGGUUGUAAAGCUCUGUUAAUCGGGACGCGGUACCGGAAUAGAAAGCCACGGCUAACUACGUGCCAGCCGCCGCGGUAAUUC